UACGUAGGGGGCAAGCGUUGUCCGGAAUCAUUGGGCGUAAAGCGCGCGUUGGCGGCCCGGUAAGUCCGUUGUAAAAGUCGAAGGCUCAACCUUCGAAAGCCGAUGGAUACUGCCGGGCUAGAGUCCGGAAGAGGCGAGUGGAAUUCCUGGUGUAGCGGUGAAAUGCGCAGAUAUCAGGAGGAACACCGGUGGCGAAGGCGGAUCUCUGGGCCUUACCUGACGCUCAGGCGCGAAAGCUAGGGGAGCGAACAGG
rnacentral:rRNA from 1 species